CUGAACAACAUGGACAGUGUUAAUUUGGAUUCCAUGCUUCAUGGCACAGAAUUGGAGCACUAACUACUCAGUGAUGACUUUCUCUUCCUCUAGCUAAGGUCAUAAGACCCUAAUUCCAGAGGGCCCUACCCUAUAACCAGAAGGAAGAACUAUUGCACAGAGAAUCUAAGAAGAAUCUAGACAGACAGCCCUUGCUGGAUUUCUCCACUCUGUUAGCAUUCGAUCAUUUGCCUUUUGUCCAGUCAUAUUUCUGCAUGGCUGUCCAUACUUUGUUGAACCUAAGCACAAAAUGGAAAGUUUUCCCUGUAUCUUUGGGUCGUCAUUCUGAAGGCUCCCAUGUUAUGUA
rnacentral:lncRNA from 10 species